rnacentral:rRNA from 221 species
GGUUUCCGUAGGUGAACCUGCGGAAGGAUCAUUA